rnacentral:rRNA from 1 species
UGGGGAAUAUUGGACAAUGGGCGAAAGCCUGAUCCAGCCAUGCCGCGUGUGUGAAGAAGGUCUUCGGAUUGUAAAGCACUUUAAGCGAGGAGGAGGGUACUGGUAUUAAUACUACCAGGUACUGGACGUUACUCGCAGAAUAAGCACCGGCUAACUCUGUGCCAGCAGCCGCGGUAAUACAGAGGGUGCAAGCGUUAAUCGGAAUUACUGGGCGUAAAGCGCGCGUAGGUGGUUCGUUAAGUUGAAUGUGAAAGCCCCGGGCUCAACCUGGGAACUGCAUCCAAAACUGGCGAGCUAGAGUAGGGCAGAGGGUGGUGGAAUUUCCUGUGUAGCGGUGAGAUGCGUAGAUAUAGGAAGGAACACCAGUGGCGAAGGCGACCACCUGGGCUCAUACUGACACUGAGGUGCGAAAGCGUGGGGAGCAAACAGG